rnacentral:lncRNA from 1 species
AUGAUCCUGGGGGCUGUGGUGGUCCUGGAGUCCGGGUGGGGGUCCUUGGGGUCUCUGAUCCGCGGGGGGGGGAUCCCAGGGUCUGGUCAGGGGUCCCUGGGGUCUAUGAUGCACGGGGAGGAGUUCCGAGGUCCCCAUUCAGGGUGGGGGUGCUCGUCCCCAGGGGUCGGACAGGGGUCCCGGAGGGGAUGGGGGUGCGCGUGCGGGGCGGGAAUCGGGGGCGCGUGCAGGCGAGGCUGGGGCGCGUGCAGGAGGGGCGGGGGCGCGCUCGGGGGGGGGUGGGAGUCGGGGGCGCGUGCUCGCUCGAGACGGGGGCGCGCGCAAGAGGGGCGGGGGCGCGCGGGGAGUCGGAGGCGCGCGUGGAGAGUCGGGGACGCGCGCGAGGUGGGAAUCAGGGGCGUGCGCAGUGGAGCGGGGGCGCGCUCGGGGCGGGAGUUGGGGCGCGCUCUGGGGAGUCGGGGACGCGCUCUGGAGAGUCGGGGACGCGUGGGGGCGGGGGCGUGCUCGGGGCGGGAGUCGGGGUUGUGCGCGGGGCGGGGGCGCGCGCGGGGCGGGAGUCGGGGGCUCCGGCAGGCGAGGCUGGGGCGCGGGCGCACUCGGCAGGGGGGGGGGGAGUCGGGGGCGCGCGCGCGAGACGGGGGCGCGCGCAGGAGGGGCUGGGGAACACAGGAGAGUCGGGGGCGCGCGCGCGGGGCUGGAGUCGGGGCGCGCGCGGGACUCAGGGCGCGAGCAGGGGCGGGGGCGCGCUGGGGAGUCGGGGGCGCGCUCAGGGCGGGGAGCGUGGGCACGCGCGGGGGGGCGGGCCGUGGGCGCGCUCAGGGCGUGGGCGCGCUCGGGAGGGUCGGGGACGCUCGGGGAGCGGGGGCGCGAGCGCGGGGCAGGAGUCGGGGGCGCGCUGGGGCGUGGGCGCGCUCUGGGAGUCGGGGGCGCGCGCAGGGCGGGGGCGCGCUCUGGAGAGUCGGGGACGCGUGGGGGCGUGGGCGCGCUCGGGGCGGGAGUUGGGGGCGCGCGCAGGGCGGGGAUGCGCUCGGGGCGGGAGUCGGGGGCGCGCUCGGGGCGGGAGUCGGGGGCGCGCGCAGGGCGGGGGCGCGCGCGGGCGGGGCGCGCGCCGGGCGGGAGUCGGGGGCGCGCGUGGAGAGUCCGGGACGCGCGCGAGGUGGGAAUCAGGGGCGUGCGCAGUGGAGCGGGGGCGCGCUCGGGGCGGGAGUUGGGGGCGCGCUCUGGGGAGUCGGGGACGCGUGGGGGCGGGGGCUUGCUCGGGGCGGGAGUCGGGGUUGCGCGCGGGGCGGGGGCGCGCGGGGGCGGGAGUCGGGGGCGCGGGCAGGCGAGGCUGGGGCGCGGGCGCACUCGGCAGGGGGGUGGGAGUCGGGGGCGCGCGCGCGAGACGGGGGCGCGUGCAGGAGGGGCUGGGGAGCACGGGAGAGCCGGGGGCGCGCGCGCGGGGCUGGAGUCGGGGCGCGCGCGGGACUCAGGGCGCGAGCAGGGGCGGGGGCGCGCUGGGGAGUCGGGGGCGCGCUCAGGGCGGGGAGCGUGGGCGCGCGCGGGGGGGCGGGCCGUGGGCGUGCGCAGGGCGGGGGCGCGCUCUGGAGAGUCGGGACGCGUGGGGCGUGGGCGCGCUCGGGGCGGGAGUCGGGGGCGCGCGCAGGGCGGGGAUGCGCUCGGGGCGGGGAGUCGGGGGCGCGCUCGGGGCGGGAGUCCGGGGCGCGCGGGGGGGGGCGUGGGCGCGCUCGGGGCGGGAGUCGGGGGCGCGCGCGGGGCGGGGGCGCGCGCGGGCGUGGGCGCGCUCGGGCGGGAGUCGGGCGCGCGCGCAGGGCGGGGGCGCGCUCGGGAGGGUCGGGGACGCGCGGGGAGCGGGGGCGCGGGAGUCGGGGGCGCGCGGGGGCGUGGGCACGCUCGGGGCGGGAGUCGGGGGUGCGCGCAGGGCGGGGGCGCGCGCGGGGCGGGAGUCGGGGGCGCGCGCGGGGCGGGAGUCGGGGGCGCGCGGGGGCGUGGGCACGCUCGGGGCGGGAGUCGGGGGUGCGCGCAGGGCGGGGGCGCGCUCGGGGCGGGAGUCGGGGGUGCGCGCAGGGCGGGGCCGCGCGAAGGGCGGGAGUCGGGGGCGCGCGGGGGCGCGGGCGCGCGCGGGGCGGGAGGCGGGGGCGCGCGCGGGGCGGGAGUCGGGGGCGCGCGCGCGCGGGGCGGGGCGUGGGCGCGGCGCGGGGCGGGCCGGCGCGGGCGCGUUUCCGCCGUCGGGCCCGGGGCUCCGAGUCCGGCCGGCGGCGCGGAAGCGGCGGCGGCGGCGGCGGCGGCGGCGGCGGCGGCGGGGCAGCCAUGUCGCCUUUGUCCGCGGCGCGGGCGGCCCUGCGGGUGUACGCGGUGGGCGCGGCGCUGGUCGUGGCGCAGCUGCUGCGUCGCUGCGUGCGGGGCUUCGUGGAGCCAGUGGAGUUUCUGUAUUGCGACCUGGCGUCCAUGAGGUCUAUCCGGGAGUUCGUCCAGACAUUCAAAAUGAAGAAGCUGCCCCUCCACGUCCUGGUGAAUAACGCCGGCGUGAUGAUGGUGCCCCAGAGGACCACGGACGACGGCUUUGAGGAGCACUUCGGCGUCAACUAUCUGGGGCACUUCCUGCUGACCAACCUCCUCCUGGACACCCUGCAGGAGUCGGGCGCCCCUGGCCGCAGCGCCCGGGUGGUGACCGUGUCCUCGGCCACGCACUACGUGGGGGAGCUGAACCUGGACGACCUCCAGAGCAGUACCAGCUACUCGGCGCACGCAGCCUAUGCGCAGAGCAAGCUGGCCCUGGUGCUGUUCACAUACCACCUGCAGGCGCUGCUGAGUGCCCGGGGCAUCCCCGUGACCGCCAGCGUGGCCGACCCCGGCGUGGUGGACACCGACCUCUACAGACACGUCUUCUGGGGCACCCGGCUCGUCAAGAAGCUCCUGGGCUGGUGGGUUUUCAAGACCCCAGAUGAGGGAGCCUGGACCUCCGUCUAUGCCGCAGUCACCCCAGCCCUGGAAGGUCUCGGUGGCCGCUAUCUCUACAACGAGAGGGAGACCCGGUCUCUGGAGGCCACGUACGACCCGGAGCUUCAGCGGCAGCUCUGGGCCAGAAGCUGCCAGUUGACAGGCAUCACCGACGUGACCCGGGAGACCUUCGGCGAGUAGCGGGCUGCCGGGAAGACUGUGGUCCGACCCAGGGAACAUCACGGUCUGUGCCGCCCUCACAGGUCUGUUUGUGCUGGACCACAUCUCUCCAUCACCCUCAUCCCCCCGACCCUCAAGGCUCUGUAUCCCCCCAGGGUCUCCCGUCGAG